GAACGCUGGCGGCGUGCUUAACACAUGCAAGUCGAACGAAGCGCUUAAACGGAUUUCUUCGGAUUGAAGUUUUUGCGACUGAGUGGCGGACGGGUGAGUAACGCGUGGGUAACCUGCCUCAUACAGGGGGAUAACAGUUAGAAAUGACUGCUAAUACCGCAUAAGCGCACAGUGCUGCAUGGCACAGUGUGAAAAACUCCGGUGGUAUGAGAUGGACCCGCGUCUGAUUAGCUAGUUGGUGGGGUAACGGCCUACCAAGGCGACGAUCAGUAGCCGGCCUGAGAGGGUGAACGGCCACAUUGGGACUGAGACACGGCCCAAACUCCUACGGGAGGCAGCAGUGGGGAAUAUUGCACAAUGGGGGAAACCCUGAUGCAGCGACGCCGCGUGAGCGAAGAAGUAUUUCGGUAUGUAAAGCUCUAUCAGCAGGGAAGAAAAUGACGGUACCUGACUAAGAAGCACCGGCUAAAUACGUGCCAGCAGCCGCGGUAAUACGUAUGGUGCAAGCGUUAUCCGGAUUUACUGGGUGUAAAGGGAGCGUAGACGGUUGUGUAAGUCUGAUGUGAAAGCCCGGGGCUCAACCCCGGGACUGCAUUGGAAACUAUGUAAGUAGAGUGUCGGAGAGGUAAGCGGAAUUCCUAGUGUAGCGGUGAAAUGCGUAGAUAUUAGGAGGAACACCAGUGGCGAAGGCGGCUUACUGGACGAUCACUGACGUUGAGGCUC
rnacentral:rRNA from 1 species